GGACGGGUGGCCGAGUGGUUUAAGGCGCACGCCCGGAAAGUGUGUACGUUAAUAGCGUACCGUGGGUUCGAAUCCCACCCCAUCCG
rnacentral:tRNA from 1 species